GGGCCCGCACAAGCGGUGGAGCAUGUGGUUUAAUUCGAUGAUACGCGAGGAACCUUACCAGGGCUUAAAUGCAUUAUGACAGGGGUGGAGACACCCUUUUCUUCGGACAUUUUGCAAGGUGCUGCAUGGUUGUCGUCAGCUCGUGCCGUGAGGUGUCAGGUUAAGUCCUAUAACGAGCGCAACCCCUGUUGUUAGUUGCCAGCGAGUAAUGUCGGGAACUCUAGCAAGACUGCCGGUGCAAACCGCGAGGAAGGUGGGGAUGACGUCAAAUCAUCACGGCCCUUACGCCCUGGGCCACACACGUGCUACAAUGGCAGGUACAGCAAGCAGCCACUGGGCGACCAGGAGCGAAUCUGUAAAGCCUGUCACAGUUCGGAUCGGAGUCUGCAACUCGACUCCGUG
rnacentral:rRNA from 1 species